rnacentral:rRNA from 1 species
CCUACGGGUGGCAGCAGUGAGGAAUAUUGGUCAAUGGGCGCGAGCCUGAACCAGCCAAGUAGCGUGAAGGAUGACUGCCCUACGGGUUGUAAACUUCGUUUAUAAAGGAAUAAAGUGAGGCACGUGGGCCGUUUUGUAUGUACUGUAUGAAUAAGGAUCGGCUAACUCCGUGCCAGCAGCCGCGGUAAUACGGAGGAUCCGAGCGUUAUCCGGAUUUAUUGGGUUUACAGGGAGCGGAGAUGGGUUGUUAAGUCAGUUGUGAAAGGUUGCGGCUCAACCGUAAAAUUGCCAUUGAUACUGGCAGCCUUGAGUACAGUUGCGGUAGGCGGCAUUCGUGGUGUCGCGGUGACCUGCU